rnacentral:rRNA from 1 species
UCUCUCUGAAUCUGCGAACGGCUCCGCAAACCAGUUGUAAACCAUAGCAAGCACGCCUUGGGCCGCCGCAAGGCGGUCCUUGGCUAUAAGGAUAACCCUGGUAAUUCUGAGGCUAAUACAUGAACGUAACCCCCGGCCGACGGGCAACUGGAAGCCGGGGACCGUGCGAGUAGGCGCAACGUUUUAUCGGAGUAGUCGCACAGUACGACCACCAUCCAAACGGUAUCCGCUUCGCUGCCUCACGGCGGCUGGCGGUGUCCGGGUGGCUCUUGCAAGGUGCUUCUGACCUAUCAACUAGAUGGCAGCGUAACGGACAUGCUAUGGUGACAACGGGUACAGAGGAUAAGGGUUCGAUCCUGGAGAGUGGGCCUGAGAGAUUGCUCACACUUCUAAGGAAGGCAGCAGGCGCGCAACGUUCCCCUUGGGCAAAGCUCGAGGGCGUUAGGGGACAUAUGAAUGCCUGCCUUAUGGUGGGCAAUUCAAAUGGGUCUGUUCUAAACAGCCUCUCGA